ensembl:snRNA U2 U2 spliceosomal RNA
AUUGAUGUUUGACCUUUUGGCUAAAAUCAAGUGUAGUGUCUAUUCUUAUCAAUUCAAUAACUGAUAUGUCCUCUAUCCGAGGACAACCAACUAAAUGAAGUUUUGGUGCUGGAAGAUGGAAUAGGAGACUGCUCUGUUUACUCCACACGUGAACUUGGUAUUGCAGGACUUCCAGAAAUGGUGCAACCUAG